rnacentral:rRNA from 1 species
CACGUAGGGCGCAAGCGUUGUCCGGAAUUAUUGGGCGUAAAGAGCUCGUAGGCGGUCUGUUGCGUCCGCUGUGAAAACCCGGGGCUUAACCCUGGGCUGGCAGUGGAUACGGACAGACUAGAGGUAGGUAGGGGAGAAUGGAAUUCCCGGUGUAGCGGUGAAAUGCGCAGAUAUCGGGAGGAACACCGGUGGCGAAGGCGGCUCUCUGGGACGGUACUGACGCUGAGACGCGAAAGCGUGGGGAGCGAACAGG